UACGUAGGGGGCUAGCGUUGUCCGGAUUUAUUGGGCGUAAAGAGCGCGUAGGCGGCUGGGUAAGUCCGACGUGAAAUCUGGAGGCUCAACCUCCAGCGGUCGUUGGAAACUACCCGGCUAGAGUCCGGAAGAGGAGAGCGGAAUUCCUGGUGUAGCGGUGAAAUGCGCAGAUAUCAGGAAGAACACCGAUGGCGAAGGCAGCUCUCUGGGACGGUACUGACGCUGAGGCGCGAAAGCGUGGGGAGCGAACAGG
rnacentral:rRNA from 1 species